GACACGACCGUACCGCAAACCGACACUGGUGCGCGAGAUGAGUAUUCUAAGGCGCUUGAGAGAACUCAGGAGAAGGAACUCGGCAAAUUGACACCGUAACUUCGGAAGAAGGUGUGCCUUUAGUAGGUGAAGUCCCUCGCGGAUGGAGCCCAAUGAGGUUGCAAAAAAUCGGUGGCUGCGACUGUUUAUUAAAAACACAGCACUCUGCAAACACGAAAGUGGACGUAUAGGGUGUGACGCCUGCCCGGUGCUGGAAGAUUAAAUGAUGGGGUGCAAGCUCUUGAUUGAAGUCCCAGUAAACGGCGGCCGUAACUAUAACGGUCCUAAGGUAGCGAAAUUCCUUGUCGGGUAAGUUCCGACCUGCACGAAUGGCGUAACGAUGGCCACACUGUCUCCUCCUGAGACUCAGCGAAGUUGAAAUGUUUGUGAUGAUGCAAUCUCCCCGCGGAAAGACGGAAAGACCCCAUGAACCUUUACUGUAGCUUUGUAUUGGACUUUGAACAGAUCUGUGUAGGAUAGGUGGGAGGCUUUGAAGCAGGGUCGCUAGAUCUUGUGGAGCCAACGUUGAAAUACCACCCUGGUGUGUUUGAGGUUCUAACCUAGGCCCGUAAUCCGGGUUGGGGACAGUGCAUGGUAGGCAGUUUGACUGGGGCGGUCUCCUCCCAAAGUGUAACGGAGGAGUUCGAAGGUACGCUAGUUACGGUCGGACAUCGUGACGAUAGUGCAAUGGCAUAAGCGUGCUUAACUGCGAGACUGACAAGUCGAGCAGAUGCGAAAGCAGGACAUAGUGAUCCGGUGGUUCUGUAUGGAAGGGCCAUCGCUCAACGGAUAAAAGGUACUCUGGGGAUAACAGGCUGAUACCGCCCAAGAGUUCAUAUCGACGGCGGUGUUUGGCACCUCGAUGUCGGCUCAUCUCAUCCUGGGGCUGUAGCCGGUCCCAAGGGUAUGGCUGUUCGCCAUUUAAAGAGGUACGUGAGCUGGGUUUAAAACGUCGUGAGACAGUUUGGUCCCUAUCUUCCGUGGGCGCUGCAGAUUUGAGGAAGCCUGCUCCUAGUACGAGAGGACCGGAGUGGACGCACCUCUGGUGUAUCGGUUGUCACGCCAGUGGCAUUGCCGAGUAGCUAUGUGCGGAAGAGAUAACCGCUGAAAGCAUCUAAGCGGGAAACUCGUUUCAAGAUGAGAUCUGCCGGGGCCUUGAGCCCCCUGAAGAGUCGUUCAAGACCAGGACGUUGAUAGGUCGGGUGUGGAAGCGCAGUAAUGCGUUAAGCUAACCGAUACUAAUUGCUCGUGCGGCUUGACC
rnacentral:rRNA from 1 species